rnacentral:rRNA from 1 species
AGCGAACGCUGGCGGCAGGCUUAACACAUGCAAGUCGAACGGGCACUUCGGUGUCAGUGGCAGACGGGUGAGUAACACGCGGGAACGUACCUUUUGGUUCGGAACAACUGAGGGAAACUUCAGCUAAUACCGGAUAAGCUCUUACGGGGAGAGAUUUAUCGCCGAAAGAACGGCCCGCGUCUGAUCAGCUAGUUGGCAGGGUCAUGGCGUACCAAGGCGACGAUCAGUAGCCGGUCUGAGAGGAUGAGCAGCCACAUUGGGACUGAGACACGGCCCACAAUCCUGCGGCAUGCAGCAUGGGCGAAUGUUGGACAAUGGGGGCAAGCCUGAUGCAUGCAGGCCGCGUGAGUGAUGAAGGCCCUAGGGUUGUAAAGCUCUUUUGUGCAGGAAGAUAAUGACGGUACCGCAAGAAUAAGCCCCGGCUAACUUCGUGCCAGCCGCCGCAGUAA